rnacentral:rRNA from 1 species
UUGGAGGGCAAGUCUGGUGCCAGCAGCCGCGGUAAUUCCAGCUCCAAUAGCGUAUAUUAAAGUUGUUGCAGUUAAAAAGCUCGUAGUUGAACUUCGGGGUCUACCCAUUGGUCAGGCUUAAUUGUCUGUACUGGUGAGAUGGAUCUCUACCUUCUGAGGAACUUUCAUGCCAUUUAUUUGGUGUGAUGGGAAAUCAGGACUGUUACUUUGAAAAAAUUAGAGUGUUUAAAGCAGACUAUCGUCUGAAUACAUUAGCAUGGAAUAAUGAAAUAGGACGGACUGAUUCUAUUUCGUUGGUUUCUAGGAUCACCGUAAUGAUUAAUAGGGAUAGUUGGGGGCAUUAGUAUUCAAUUGUCAGAGGUGAAAUUCUUGGAUUUAUUGAAGACUAACUACUGCGAAAGCAUUUGCCAAGGAUGUUUUCAUUAAUCAAGAACGAAAGUUAGGGGAUCGAAGACGAUCAGAUACCGUCGUAGUCUUAACCAUAAACUAUGCCGACUAGGGAUCGGACGAAGUUAAUUUUAUAAUGACGCGUUCGGCGCCUUACGGGAACAC